UUCCGGUUGAUCCCGCCGGACCUGACUGCUAUCGGAUUGAUACUAAGCCAUGCGAGUCUUUGUAGUAAUACAAGGCAGACGGCUCAGUAACACGUAGUCAACCUACCCUAUGGACGAGAAUAAUCUCGGGAAACUGAGCAUAAUUCUUGAUAGAUCAUAAUGCCUGGAAUGGUUUAUGGUUAAAAUGAUUCGUCGCCAUAGGAUGGGACUGCGGCCUAUCAGCUUGUUGGUGAGGUAAUGGCCCACCAAGGCGAUUACAGGUACGGGCUCUGAGAGGAGAAGCCCGGAGAUGGGUACUGAGACACGGACCCAGGCCCUAUGGGGCGCAGCAGGCGAGAAAACUUUGCAAUGUGCGAAAGCACGACAAGGUUAAUCCGAGUGAUUUCUGCUAAAGAAAUCUUUUGCCAGUCGUAAAACCGCUGGUGAAUAAGGGGUGGGCAAGUUCUGGUGUCAGCCGCCGCGGUAAAACCAGCACCUCAAGUGGUCAGGAUGAUUAUUGGGCCUAAAGCAUCCGUAGCCUGCUUUGUAAGUUUUCGGUUAAAUCCAUGUGCUCAACGCAUGGGCUGCCGAAAAUACUGCAUAGCUAGGGAGUGGGAGAGGUAGACGGUACUCAGUAGGUAGGGGUAAAAUCCUUUGAUCUAUUGAUGACCACCUGUGGCGAAGGCGGUCUACCAGAACACGUUCGACGGUGAGGGAUGAAGCUGGGGGAGCAAACCGGAUUAGAUACCCGGGUAGUCCCAGCUGUAAACGAUGCAGACUCGAUGAUGCAUUGGCAUAAUAGCCAUUGCAGUGUCGCAGGGAAGCCGUUAAGUCUGCCGCCUGGGAAGUACGUACGCAAGUAUGAAACUUAAAGGAAUUGGCGGGGGAGCACCACAAGGGGUGAAGCCUGCGGUUCAAUUGGAUUCAACGCCGGG
rnacentral:rRNA from 1 species